CGAUAUUUCUGAAAUCCUUCGUGUCUUUACUCAACAGUCAUCACUUUUCGUCAGCUCUUCUUGCAUAUGCUGAAUGCCUCAGAGAAUGAAGUGGAUGUACAGCGGGCCUCAGCGAAGAUGUCAAGCUAGAGUUCGAAGCAGACAACGAGGAAGUGUCUGAGGACUACAGUACAUGAUUUUUUUAAGGUACAGCCAUGUGCGAAACAUCUGCCGUAAGUUACCAACAUAGAAUUCUGCCAGUCUCUUUUCUACUAUUAAUAAUAGUAUUAUAUACACAAAAAAUGUGAAAUUAUUUAUUUAUUUUGUUUAAAGAUAUUAUUUAUAUUUCAUGUUCACAAUAGUUAGAAGAACUCUAUUGUUUUUUAAGAAGUUUUAUCAAGUAUUUCUUGAGUGUACUAAAAAUUAGGUAACCGCGGUCUUAGUCUCCAAGAUACAAGUCUGACCUAGUUUGAGGUCUGAGGUAAUGCAGAAUUUUAAUAAUGUAACUUGACAAAGUUCUGAUAUAUGUUAAGUGUACUUAGAUCUUUUUAGGCUAUGUUCAAUAGCGGAUAUAAACAGUUUCUUUGUUUCUUAUACGACUGUGAAAUACAUCUUUUAUACAGAAAUAUUUAUUAUACAGCAAAUGU
rnacentral:lncRNA from 1 species